UUCUCCGUGGCGCAAUUGGUUAGCGCGUCCGACUGUUACUGUCACAGUUUCAUCGGGAGGUUGGAAGUUCAAGCCUUCCCGGGGAAG